UUAAGUUCAGCGGGUACCCCUACCUGAUCCGAGGUCAAACCUGAGAGGACGCCUCGGCGGCCCAUGGUGGGGGCUCGAGGCGGGAGGGACCGUGGACGGCGCACGACUGCUCUACGCUUAUCACAACGUCUACCAAGUCGGGUCCGCGGACACGCGUUCCUCCCCUUUCAUUUGGGCGGGGUGGCCGCCGGGCUGGGAGC
rnacentral:misc_RNA from 1 species